rnacentral:rRNA from 1 species
GACAGAGGGUGCAAACGUUGUUCGGAAUUACUGGGCGUAAAGCGCGUGUAGGUAGCUCGGAAAGUCGGGUGUGAAAGCCCUGGGCUUAACCUAGGAAGUGCACUCGAAACUUCCGAGCUUGAGUUCUGGAGAGGAAGGCGGAAUUCUCGGUGUAGAGGUGAAAUUCGUAGAUAUCGAGAGGAACACCGGUGGCGAAGGCGGCCUUCUGGACAGUGACUGACGCUGAGACGCGAAAGCGUGGGGAGCAAACAGG